rnacentral:rRNA from 1 species
CCCGACUGCUAUCGGAUUGAGAUUUAGCCAUGCGAGUCGAACGUCUCCCUGUUGCGGGGGGCGUGGCGUACGGCUCAGUAACACGUAGUCAACCUGCCCUGGAGACGCGGACAACCCCGGGAAACUGGGAUUAAUCCGUGAUAGGUCAUCUCAUCUGGAAGGAGAGAUGGCUUAAAGGGGCGCGCGGGCUUCUUCUGCGCGUUCACUCCAGGAUGGGACUGCGUCCGAUCAGGCUGUUGGCGGGGUAAUGGCCCACCAAACCUGUAACCGGUACGGGCCUUGAGAGAGGUGGCCCGGAGAUGGACACUGAGAGAAGGGUCCAGGUCCUACGGGGCGCAGCAGGCGCGAAACCUUCGCAAUGCGCGAAAGCGUGACGAGGUUAAUCCGAGUGGUCUCCGCUGAGGAGACCUUUUGUCAGCUGUAAAUAGGCGGGCGAAUAAGGGGAGGGCA